AUGGAGAUGGUGGAGAAGCUAUCUCUCACCACAAGACCACAUCCACAUCCUUACUACAUCCAAUGGUUCAACAACAGUGGCAAGGUUAAGGUAACACGUACUGUUCGUGUGCAUUUUAGUAUCUCUACAUAUGCUGAUUAUGUUGAUUGUGAUGUGGUACCCAUGCAAGCAUGUUCCUUAUUACUAGGUAGACCAUGGCAAUUUGAUAAAAAUUCUGUACACCAUGGUAGAAACAAUCAGUAUACUCUUGUUCAUAAGGAUAAAAAUAUUACUUUGCUUCCUAUGACUCCUGAUUCCAUUUUGAAAGAUGACAUUAAUAGAGCUAAUAAAGCAAAACAGGAGAAAAAUAAGAGUGAAAAUCAGAUUGUGGCAAAGGAAUUUGAGCAACAAAUGAAACCUAAUAAUAAACCAUCUAGUGUUGUUUCUGAAAUUAAAUUGAAAAGUGCAUGUUUGCUUGCCACAAAAUCUGAUAUUGAUGAACUAGAUUUCAGCAAAUCUGUUUGCUAUGCUUUUGUGUGCAAAGAGGCAUUAUUUUCAUUCGAGGACGUGCCUUCCUCUUUUCCCCCUGCUGUCACUCACAUUUUGCAGGAGUUCGCUGACGUCUUCCCACAAGACGUGCCACCGGGAUUACCACCUAUUCGAGGGAUUGAGCAUCAAAUUGACUUAAUUCCCGGUGCAUCGCUACCCAACCGUGCACCAUACCGUACCAAUCCAGAGGAGACGAAGGAGAUUAUGCGUCAAGUACAGGAGCUGCUCGACAAAGGUUAUAUACGCGAAUCUCUUAGUCCUUGUGCUGUUCCUAUUAUACUCGUGCCUAAAAAGGAUGGUACGUCGCGUAUGUGUGUUGAUUGUAGAGGCAUUAAUAAUAUUACUAUUCGUUAUCGUCAUCCUAUUCCUAGGCUCGAUGAUAUGCUUGAUGAAUUGAGUGGCUCUACAAUAUUCUCCAAAGUUGAUUUGCGUAGUGGAUACCAUCAAAUUCGUAUGAAAUUGGGAGAUGAAUGGAAAACUGCAUUUAAAACUAAGUUUGGUUUAUAUGAGUGGUUAGUCAUGCCUUUUUGGUUAACUAAUGCACCUAGUACUUUCAUGAGACUAAUGAACGAAGUUUUACGUGCUUUCAUUGGACGAUUUGUGGUGGUCUAUUUUGAUGAUAUACUGAUUUAUAGCAAAUCUUUGGAAGAACAUUUGGAACAUUUACGUGCUGUUUUUAUUGCUCUACGUGAUGCACGUUUGUUUGGUAACCUUGGGAAGUGCACCUUUUGCACCGACCGAGUAUCUUUUCUUGGCUAUGUUGUUACUCCACAGGGAAUUGAAGUUGAUAAAGCCAAGAUUGAAGCUAUUGAGAGUUGGCCGCAGCCCAAAACGGUCACACAAGUGCGGAGUUUUCUUGGACUCGCUGGUUUCUAUCGGCGUUUUGUGAGAGAUUUUAGCACCAUUGCUGCACCUCUCAACGAGCUUACAAAGAAGGAUGUGCCUUUUGUUUGGGGUACCGCACAGGACGAAGCCUUCACGGUAUUGAAAGAUAAGUUGACACAUGCUCCUUUACUCCAACUUCCUGAUUUUAAUAAGACUUUUGAGCUUGAAUGUGAUGCUAGUGGCAUUGGAUUAGGAGGUGUGUUAUUACAAGAUGGCAAACCUGUUGCAUACUUUUCUGAAAAAUUGAGUGGGCCUAGUCUGAAUUAUUCUACUUAUGAUAAAGAACUAUAUGCUCUUGUUCGGACUUUAGAAACAUGGCAACAUUAUUUAUGGCCCAAAGAAUUUGUUAUACAUUCUGAUCAUGAAUCUUUGAAACAUAUUAAAAGUCAAGCUAAACUGAAUCGUAGACAUGCUAAAUGGGUUGAAUUCAUUGAAACUUUCCCUUAUGUCAUUAAACACAAGAAGGGUAAAGAAAAUGUUAUUGCUGAUGCAUUGUCUCGUCGCUAUACUAUGCUUUCACAACUUGACUUCAAAAUAUUUGGUUUGGAGACCAUUAAAGAUCAAUAUGUGCAUGAUGCUGAUUUUAAAGAUGUAUUGCAGAAUUGUAAAGAAGGAAGAACCUGGAACAAGUUUGUCGUUAAUGAUGGAUUUGUGUUCCGUGCUAACAAGCUAUGCAUUCCAGCUAGCUCUCUUCGUCUUUUGUUGUUGCAGGAGGCGCAUGGAGGAGGAUUAAUGGGACACUUUGGCGUGAAGAAGACGGAGGACGUACUUGCUACACAUUUCUUUUGGCCAAAGAUGAGACGGGAUGUUGAGCGUUUUGUUGCUCGCUGCACUAAAUGUCAAAAAGCUAAGUCACGACUCAAUCCUCAUGGUUUAUAUAUGCCUUUGCCUGUACCUAGUGUUCCUUGGGAGGAUAUAUCUAUGGACUUUGUUUUAGGUUUACCUCGAACAAAGAAGGGGAGGGAUAGCAUAUUUGUUGUCGUGGAUAGAUUCUCGAAAAUGGCGCACUUUAUACCAUGUCAUAAAAGCGAUGAUGCUGUUAAUGUUGCUGAUUUGUUCUUUCGUGAAAUUAAUCGUGAUACUAAAUUUCUUAGCCACUUUUGGAGAUGUUUAUGGGCUAAGUUGGGGACCAAACUGCUUUUUAGUACUACUUGUCACCCCCAAACUGAUGGACAAACUGAAGUAGUCAAUAGAACAUUGUCUACAAUGCUUAGGGCUGUUUUGAAGAAUAAUAAGAAAAUGUGGGAAGAAUGCUUGCCUCAUAUUGAGUUUGUUAUAAUCGUUCAUUGCAUUCUACUACUAAGAUGUGCCCUUUUGAAAUUGUGUAUGGUUUCCUACCUCGUGCACCUAUUGAUUUGUUGCCUCUUCCAUCUUCGGAGAAGGUUAAUUUUGAUGCUAAACAACGUGCUGGAUUGA
rnacentral:rRNA from 1 species